rnacentral:snRNA from 1 species
AAAAUAAGUCAGUGGCAGUAUCGUAGCCAAUGAGGUUUAUCCGAGGCGUGAUUAUUGCUAAUUGAAAAUAAGUCAAGCAGAGAAAGUCAGUUAUCAUAUGGUUCCAUUUAUUUGUGGAAUCUUAAGGAGUAG